GGUACGGCGGGCGGUCCAGGACGGCGACAGCGGAGGGAUAUUACCGAGUUUACAACUCCCAAACCCAAUGUGAACGUUACCAAACUGUUGCCUCGGCGGGAUCUCUGCCCCGGGUGCGUCGCAGCCCCGGACCAAGGCGCCCGCCGGAGGACCAACCAAAACUCUUAUUGUAUACCCCCUCGCGGGUUUUUUUAUAAUCUGAGCCUUCUCGGCGCCUCUCGUAGGCGUUUCGAAAAUGAAUCAAAACUUUCAACAACGGAUCUCUUGGUUCUGGCAUCGAUGAAGAACGCAGCGAAAUGCGAUAAGUAAUGUGAAUUGCAGAAUUCAGUGAAUCAUCGAAUCUUUGAACGCACAUUGCGCCCGCCAGUAUUCUGGCGGGCAUGCCUGUCCGAGCGUCAUUUCAACCCUCGAACCCCUCCGGGGGGUCGGCGUUGGGGAUCGGCCCUGCCUUGGCGGUGGCCGUCUCCGAAAUACAGUGGCGGUCUCGCCGCAGCCUCUCCUGCGCAGUAGUUUGCACACUCGCAUCGGGAGCGCGGCGCGUCCACAGCCGUUAAACACCCAACUUCUGAAAUGUUGACCUCGGAUCAGGUAGGAAUACCCGCUGAACUUAAGCAUAUCAAUAAGCGGAGGAAAAGAAACCAACAGGGAUUGCCCANNUAACGGCGGCUUGGUAUUUUUGAGGAGUUAUUUGAAUUGGUUCUGUAUAAAAGCAAAUGUGUUGGAAAAUUUGAAAGGAUUAAUAGAAAAGUCUUGAUGGAGGAGAUGUUUAGUUUGGGUAUAAAGAAUAAAAGGUUAUUUUGUGANUGGAGGGCGGUAUGUGAAUUGGGAAA
rnacentral:sRNA from 1 species